UAUCUAAUUAAUUCUAUUAAUAAUUAUAUAUUUAUUUUAAAGAUUAAGUUAUAUAUAUUUAAAUUUAAGUAAUUAAAUUGUAAAAUUAUAAAUAAUUUAUUAAAUUAAUUAUAGUUUAUUUAAUAGUACCUUAUUAUAUAGAUAAUUGUAGUAAUUUUAGAGUUAAUAUAUGUUAAAAACCCCGAUUUCGGAAGGGGUAUAUUUAUUAGAUUAAAAACUAAUACCCUUUGGAGUUAAUUAGUAAUUUAUAAUAAUUUUUCGAAUUGUAUAGCUUUAUAUUAGUAAUAGUUUAUUCAAAUUUCUACCCUAUUAACUUUCGACGGCUGGGUCUUGGCUAGUUAUAGUAAUAAUGGGUAAUGGAGGGUUAAAGUUCGACCCCGGAGAAGGAGUUUAAAAAACGGUUAUUAUAUUUAAGGAAGGUAGUAGGUGUGUAAAUUACCUAAUUCCGAUAUAGGGAGGUAGUAAUAAUAAAUAUUAAUAUAAAGCUCUUUUAGGUUUUGUAAUUAGAAUAAGUAUAAUUUAAAUUCCUUAAUAAAGAAUAAUUAGAGGGUAAGUUUAAUAUUAGUAGUUGCGGUAAUUUUAGUUCUAAUAGUAUAUAUUAAAGUUAUUAAGGUUAAAAAGCUUGUAAUUAAACUUUAGGCUCGGCCUGUCGGUCCGCCUUACUACGUAUAUUAAUUAAGUUGGGCCUUUUUUCCUAAAGAACCAUAUACCCUUUAUUAGGUAUAUUGGGGAAUUAGGACUUUUAUUGUAAAUAAAUUAAAUUGCUUAAAGAAGGCCUAUAUUUAAAUAUAUUAGUAUAGAAUAAUAGAAUAGAACGUAUAGUUCUAUUUUAUUAAUUUCUAGGACCGCUGUAAUAAUUAAUAGGGAUAAUCGGGGGUAUUAAUAUUCAAUUGUUAAAAGUAAAAUUCUUGGAUUUAUUGAAGACUAACUAUUAUAAAAGUAUUUGCUAAGGAUAUUUUUAUUAAUUAAGAACGAAAGUUAGGGGAUUGAAGAUAAUUAAAUAUUAUUGUAGUUUUAACUAUAAAUUAUACUAAUUAGAAAUCGAAUAGUAUUAUUUUUUAACCUAUUUAAUACCUUACAAUAAAUUAAAAUAUUUAGGCUCCUAAGGGAAUAUAAUUGUAAAGUUGAAAUUUAAAGAAAUUAACGGAAGGGUACUACUAGGGGUGGAGCUUACAGUUUAAUUUAAUUUAAUAUAGGGAAAUUCACUAGGUCUAAAUAUAAUAAGGAUUGAUAAAUUGAGAGCUCUUUCUUAAUUUCGUAGGUAGUAGUAUAUAGCUAUUCUUAGUUAGUAGAAUAAUUUAUCUACUUAAUUAUAAUAAUAAAUAAAACUUUAAUUUGUUAAAUAGCUUGUAUUACUUUAGUAAUAUAUUAGUUUUUUAGAAGGACUAUCGGCUUAAGCCAAUAGAAGUUUGAGGUAAUAAUAGGUUUAUAAUACUUUUAAAUAUUCUAAGCUGUACGUGCGCUAUAUUAAUACAAUUAGCGAGUACUCCCUUAGCCGGAAGGUCCGGGUAAUCUUAUUAAACUAUAUUGUAUUAGGAAUAGAGUAUUACAAUUAUUACUCUUCAAUAAAGAAUCCCUAAUAAAUAUAAAUUAUUAAUUUACAUUAAUUACAUUCCUACCCUUUAUAUAUACCGUCUAUCGCUACUACCGAUUAAAUAGUUUAGUAAAGCUUCCGGAUUAGCCUAAGGAGGUCGGUAACGAUUACUUAAAACCGGAAAGCUAUUUAAACUUAAUUAUUUAAAGGAAGUAAAAAUCGUAAUAAGGUCUCCGUUAAUAAAUUAAUAGAAGGAUUAUUA
rfam:Neurospora crassa OR74A unplaced genomic scaffold supercont12.8, whole genome shotgun sequence.